ACUGCCUGAUGGCGGGGGAGUAACUACUGGAAACGGUAGCUAAUACCGCAUAAUGUCUGCGGACCAAAGCGGGGGACCUCCGGGCCUCGCGCCAUCAGAUGAACCCAUAUGGGAUUAGCUUGUAGGUAAGGUAACGGCUUACCUAGGCGACGAUCCCUAGCUGGUCUGAGAGGAUGAUCAGCCACACUGGGACUGAGACACGGCCCAG
rnacentral:rRNA from 1 species